AUUCCUGUAAUUACAAAUUUCUUCUGUUGAAACACACACAGACAACUCUCAAAAAAUAACAAUCAUAAUCUUCCAUCCAUAAUCAAUCUUUCAAUAACUGCUCAUAUAAUUCAAUCACUCAGUACUCUAAUUACAUAAUCAAUAACUCAUAAAUCAAUCUCUAAUUUAUUCCACAGACUCACUUCUCAGUAUUCAGAAAUUAUCUAUUAUUCUUCAAUAACAAAGAAAAUAAAAGAAACAAAGAGGAAGCACCAAGCUUAAUUCCGGCUCAUAACUAUCACAGUCUCACAUUUUCUUCCUCUCUCCCAUCGUCCUUAUACUACCCCAAGAUACCAACUCCUAUACUAUGGAUGAUAACUACUUUUUUUGAUUAUUCAUCCAUUCUAUCUA
rnacentral:lncRNA from 1 species